rnacentral:rRNA from 1 species
GAUGAACGCUGGCGGCGUGCUUAACACAUGCAAGUCGAACGAUGAAGCCCAGCUUGCUGGGUGGUUUAGUGGCGAACGGGUGAGUAACACGUGAGUAACCUGCCCUUGACUCUGGGAUAAGCCUGGGAAACUGGGUCUAAUACUGGAUAUGACUUCUCAUCGCAUGGUGGGGGGUGGAAAGAUUUAUUGGUCUUGGAUGGACUCGCGGCCUAUCAGCUUGUUGGUGAGGUAAUGGCUCACCAAGGCGACGACGGGUAGCCGGCCUGUGAGGGUGACCGGCCACACUGGGACUGAGACACGGCCCAGACUCCUACGGGAGGCAGCAGUGGGGAAUAUUGCACAAUGGGCGCAAGCCUGAUGCAGCGACGCCGCGUGAGGGAUGACGGCCUUCGGGUUGUAAACCUCUUUCAGUAGGGAAGAAGCGAGAGUGACGGUACCUGCAGAAGAAGCGCCGGCUAACUACGUG